rnacentral:rRNA from 1 species
GUGCCAGCAGCCGCGGUAAUACGUAGGUGGCAAGCGUUGUCCGGAUUUACUGGGCGUAAAGGAUGUGUAGGCGGAUAUUUAAGUGAGAUGUGAAAUCCCCGGGCUUAACUUGGGGGCUGCAUUUCAAACUGGAUGUCUAGAGUGCAGGAGAGGAAAGCAGAAUUCCUAGUGUAGCGGUGAAAUGCGUAGAGAUUAGGAAGAAUACCAGUGGCGAAGGCGGCUUUCUGGACUGUAACUGACGCUGAGGCAUGAAAGCGUGGGGAGCAAACAGGAUUAGAUACCCCCGUAGUCC